rnacentral:rRNA from 1 species
CGGACCCGCACAAGCAGCGGAGCGUGUGGUUAAUUCGAGGCUACACGAAGAACUUACCAGGUUUGACAUGCAAGUGGUAGGAAUCCGAAAGGUGACCGACCCUUCGGGAGCUUGCACAGGUGCUGCAUGGCUGUCGUCAGCUCGUGUCGUGAGAUGUUCGGUUAAGUCCGCUAACGAGCGCAACCCUCGUCGUGUGUUAUACGUGUCACACGAUACUGCCGGUAUCAAGCCGGAGGAAGGUGGGGAUGAUGUCAAGUCAGCAUGGCCUUUAUAUCCUGGGCUACACACACGCUACAAUGGCAGAUACAAUAGGUUGCGAAACCGCGAGGUGGAGCCAAUCCUCAAAGUCUGUCUCAGUUCAGAUUGUAGGCUGCAACUCGCCUGCAUGAAGUUGGAGUUGCUAGUAAACGCAGGUCAGCUAUACUGCGUUGAAUACGUUCCCGGGGUUU